CAAUCAUCCCAUUAGGGCGUCCCUGUCCCUGAUCUUCCGCUAUCUCCCUCCCAUCCACUUCCCUGGACAACCUCUCGGUUCCUCCUCCUCCUUCCCUUUCCUGCCACGUCCCAGAGCCCCAGCUAACCCAAUCCCUGCCCUAGCGUCCAGGCUCCAGGGUUCACUGUGUACGGAGCAGGGAGAACAUGUCGCCACCCCCUCGGGGCCCUUCUAAAGAGGAGCGUUACCUGUGGCUGGUUUGUCAAACAGGCAUACGUCAUUAGAAUGGAAAAGGAGAUCCCUAACACUGAAAAAUCUCUAAUUGACCAGGACUCGAGGAUGCCGCUCAUGGCAAGCAGCUUAGAAGGUAUAAAGAAUCUUUUGGCUGCAAAACUGAGGCAAGAAGAGAAAACAAAUGGAAACUGAAAGCAGUACCUCAAGUAUUUGGAGGAAGCACAGAUCUCUCUUGCUGCUCACUCUGAUG